AUGGCCAAGCACAUCUGCAAAAAAGACAUUGCUGGAGGAGGUGCAAGAGCUGGAAACCAAGUUUCCUGUCCUGGGAAAAGCAGUGGUGUGGAAGAGCAGUGGAAAGAGGUAGGGAACUUCAUCCCAAUACCUACAGAAAACAAAUUCUCCCGGUCCCUUUCUCUGUUUUUCUAUUUAUACAUUUUUUUUCGCAUAUUGGUUUUCUAUAGAAGCACAACAUGCUCAGUUUUAAGCAUUUUUGGUUAUACUCAAAUUUAAGUUGCACUCUUUCAGUGGCCACAUGAAAUCUGACUUUCUGGGUCACUGGGUCUGUCUCUAGGUAAGAAUGGGGGUUUUAUUGGGUUUAGAGGUGAGCAAAACUAUCCAUGUGCCAAAAAAUUGAUGUCAUAGCAUUAUUAUCUUAAGGUGGAAAAGUGUAGGUUUAGCAAUAUUGUUGGGGAAACCAGCCCCACACCACCCAGCCCCACACCACCCAGUGGGUACCCCCAGUUUGGCGGAGACCAAGGAGUUAGAGACAGAAUAAGCAUUUAAAAGGUGGGUCCAGGGGACCGUAGCAUCAGAGGCUUGCUCACUGCCCAAAGCUCUCGGGCUCCACCCAAUUUAUUGCUUUACAAGAUCUUUGUUCUUAGGGCAGAUGGGAGGGGUUGGAAGGGAUGAGGAAAAGGAUUAAUCAGUGAAGGAGAACUCAAUAAGAUGCAUAGCAGAGGCGGUUUCUGUGAAUUUCCUUGAGCAAAGGCAUGUGUCUAAACUACUUAAGAUCUUUGACUUAUCGGGACUGAAAUGGGUGGGAGUGGGUUUCAGGAGGAGCCAAGAUGUUUGAUUGUACUCCACUGCCUUCCACUGCCUCAAGGGAGUGUUACCUCCCUGAGCAACCUGUGGAAUGUCGCUGAGUGGUUAUGCUCUCGGGGCAUAAAGACAUGAAGGAAAUAAGGAGACUUUUCUCCUGAGAGGCCGCCCAUGGCUCCCCAUGGGUAUCUCACACAGGGGAGACCAACUCAUCUGACAGCCCAGAAACUCUCUUUCCCACAAGUCUUCCACAGAGGAGUUAAAUCCAAGCCUUUGAAUUUCAAACUCAAUUAUUGUAUCCAAGGAUGAGUAUCACACAUGAAGGUUUGCAUGUGAAAUAAUUCAUGUUAUUAUUCAUUUAAAUCUUGUUAAUCCCACUUCAGCAUAUCUAGGUGAGGGAGUUGUUUUUAAUUAACUAAUAUUACUGCUGGGGUUGAGAAGGAUCGUGUGAACUUUGGAACAAUAUUGCUUCUUGCAUUCCUAAUUGCUUAUGAACAUCAGCCUGCCUACCUUCCCUGCACGUAACAGCUAGGCCUGUGCAUAAUUUUUGUUUCAUCACAUAUGUUAAGACUGUCUUAGAGUGUACUCUGUUAAUAUUUCUAUACCACCAAGAAAAAUUUUCCUGGCCUUGAGAAAAAUUUUCAGAGUACUAAAAAGCCAUUGCUGUAUUAAGGAUAUGGAAUGUCUAGAAUAUUUUGAAUAUCAUUCUAUAAAUGCUUAGAAGGAAAUCUGUAAGUAACUUCUAAUGAAACACAUAUCUAGAAUUAAAAUAUUUAUAGAGAUUUCCACUUUGUGUAGGGUUUUAUAUUUUAUUUCUACCACAUUUUAAA
rnacentral:lncRNA from 1 species